rnacentral:rRNA from 1 species
GAUGAACGCCGGCGGUGUGCCUAAUACAUGCAAGUCGAGCGCACUGGCCCAACUGAUAUGACGUGCUUGCACUGAUUUGACGAUGGAUUACCAGUGAGCGGCGGACGGGUGAGUAACACGUGGGCAACCUACCCUAAAGCGGGGAAUAACAUUUGGAAACAGGUGCUAAUACCGCAUAACUACGAAAACCACAUGGUUUUCGUAUCAAAGAUGGUUUCGGCUAUCACUUUAGGAUGGACCCGCGGUGCAUUAGCUAGUUGGUAGGGUAACGGCCUACCAAGGCAAUGAUGCAUAGCCGAGUUGAGAGACUGAUCGGCCACAAUGGAACUGAGACACGGUCCAUACUCCUACGGGAGGCAGCAGUAGGGAAUCUUCCACAAUGGACGCAAGCCUGAUGGAGCAACACCGCGUGAGUGAAGAAGGGUUUCGGCUCGUAAAACUCUGUUGUUGAAGAAGAACGUGCAUGAGAGUAACUGUUCAUGCAGUGACGGUAUUCAACCAGAAAGUCACGGCUAACUAC